GAUGAACGCUGGCGGCGUGCCUAAUACAUGCAAGUCGAGCGAACGGACGAGAAGCUUGCUUCUCUGAUGUUAGCGGCGGACGGGUGAGUAACACGUGGAUAACCUACCUAUAAGACUGGGAUAACUUCGGGAAACCGGAGCUAAUACCGGAUAAUAUUUUGAACCGCAUGGUUCAAAAGUGAAAGACGGUCUUGCUGUCACUUAUAGAUGGAUCCGCGCUGCAUUAGCUAGUUGGUAAGGUAACGGCUUACCAAGGCAACGAUGCAUAGCCGACCUGAGAGGGUGAUCGGCAACACUGGAACUGAGGCACGGUCCAGACUCCUACGGGAGGCAGCAGUAGGGAAUCUUCCGCAAUGGGCGAAAGCCUGACGGAGCAACGCCGCGUGAGUGAUGAAGGUCUUCGGAUCGUAAAACUCUGUUAUUAGGGAAGAACAUAUGUGUAAGUAACUGUGCACAUCUUGACGGUACCUAAUCAGAAAGCCACGGCUAACUACGUG
rnacentral:rRNA from 1 species